GGGGAAAAAUUAAUUAAAAUUUAAUAAGAUAAUAAAAAAAAUUUUAAUAUUAGUAUUUUAAUGGGGGUUAAAGUAUUUUAAUAGAAAAAAUUUUUAAAUUUAUAGGGAAGUAGUAAUGUAAAUGAAUUUUGAAAUAUUGAAAAAGAAAUUAUUAAAAAGUAAUUUUAAUUUAGUGUAUCUUGUGUAUCAGAGUUUAUUAAUUAUUAAUUAAAGUUUUAGUUUUCUCGAAUUAAAAAGAGUUAAUUAAUUAAUUUGAUUUUAUUGUUUUAUAAAUAUGUGAAAUAAUUAAUUUGAAAUGAAAUGUUAAUCGUUUUUUAAGAUAUUUAGUUUUUUUAGAAAAAAAUUUAAUUUUGAAAUUAAUAAAUAACUAAUAAAUUAAUUUUACAUUAAUUUAUUAAUAUUUUUAAUUUAAAUAUUUUAAGGGAUAAGCUUUAAAAUAAAAAAUUAUAUUUAAAAAUUUAUUUAUUAAAUUUUUUUAGAAUUUAAAUUGUUUAAAAAAUUUAUUUUAUUAUAAAUAAAAUUUAAAAUAAAAAAAAAUUUUAAAUAUAAAAAUUAAUUUUUUAUAAAAAUAAUUUAUUUUAAUUUUAUAAGUGAAGUUAUAAUGAUAAAAUUAGUAUAUUUAUGAAAUAAGUAAAUUAAAUUAUUUAAAAAUUUAAUAAAAAGAAUUCGGCAAAAAUUUAUAUUCACCUGUUUAUCAAAAACAUGUCUUUUUGAAUUUAAUUUAAAGUUUAAUCUGCCCACUGAUUAUAAAUUAAAGGGCUGCAGUAUUUUGACUGUACAAAGGUAGCAUAAUAAAUAGUUUUUUAAUUGAUGACUAGAAUGAAUGAUUGGAUGAAAUAUAAUCUGUUUCUUAUUAAUUAAGUAUAAUUUAAUUUUUUAAUCAAAAAGUUAAAAUGAAUUUAAAAGACGAGAAGACCCUAUAGAGUUUAAUAUAAUUUUUAUUAAAAAUAUUUAUAUAAUAAAAAAAAAUUAAUUAAUAAUUAUAUUUUAUUGGGGUGAUAGAAAAAUUAAAAUAACUUUUUUUUUAAUAAAUUUAAAAAACAUAGAUAAGUGAAUUUAUUGAUCCAAAAUUUUUGAUUAUAAGAAAAAAUUACCUUAGGGAUAACAGCGUAAUUUUUUUUUCUAGUUCAAAUAGAAAAAAAAGUUUGCGACCUCGAUGUUGGAUUAAGAUAAAAUUUAAAUGCAAAAGUUUAAAAUUUUGAUCUGUUCGAUCAUUAAAAUCUUACAUGAUCUGAGUUCAAACCGGUGUAAGCCAGGUUGGUUUCUAUCUUUAGAGAAUUAAAAUAUUUUAGUACGAAAGGAAUUAAUAUUUAAAAUAAUUUUAUUUAAAUGAAUUAUAUUAAAUUUUAUUU
rnacentral:rRNA from 1 species